rfam:Roseovarius sp. A-2 DNA, contig: RA2_contig0006.
AGCUUAUUUUGCGCAGCCGGAACUUGACCGCCCACUGAAACGAUAAUCUCCUUCAUUGAGGAUCAGCACGACAUCAGCGGUAUGCGGGCCG